AUUGAACGCUGGCGGCAGGCCUAACACAUGCAAGUCGAGCGAGUGGCGGACGGGUGAGUCAUGUCUGGGACACUGCCCGUUGGAGGGGGAUAACUACUGGAAACGGUGGCUAAUCCCGCAUACCAUCAGUUGGACCCAGAUGGGCUUAGCUUGUGGGUGGGGUAAAGGCUCACCCAGGCGACGACCACUAGCGGGUCUGAGAGGAUGAUCAGCCAAAAGGGGACGGAGACACGGCCCAGACGCUUACGGGAGGCAGCAGUGGGAAAUAUUGCAAAAUGGGCGAAAGCCGGAUGCAGAAAGGCGGCGGGGAGGAAGAGGGUCUUGGGGUUGUAAAGUACGUUCAGAGGGGAGGCGGUACCCGAAGAAGAAGGACCGGCUAACUACGUGCCAGCAGCCGCGGUAAUAC
rnacentral:rRNA from 1 species